CGGCACAUUUCAUUGACUUGCUCUGUGUACCUUACGGAGCAGCGUUAUUUCUGAUGUGCUAGAACAAAACGAAGGUAAAUUAGCAGUGUAACUAGGAACAUGUAGUCACCGCUGCCAGUCCCCUUCAUACAUGU